GCACGCUCCAAGUCUAGGAAAUGAGACCCUGAGACUUUGAAAGGAGCCUUUCAUCAAAACUAGGAUUUGAUGCCGGUUGGCAUCUGUUGAGUCAAAGGAGCCAGGAGGUGGAGACUGAGAAGAUUUAGAAGCUCUGAUGAAGUGGAUGGAGAAUGGAACCAACUGAGGUUAUGUAGAAUUGGCUCCUGAGGGCCAGAUAACAUCAGGAAUCACGUGCUGGUGAUGGAGGAGCCAGAUAGGAUGGUAAUUUCCCAUGAAAUCUGAGUGGGAGAAGAUCAGGAGAAGGAAACACUAAAGAUAGAGACAGAAGGCAGAAACUUGAUGGAGCCAGGUCAUGGAGUAGGCAGGAGAUGGGAGCAAAGGUAAAAUACAGGUGGAGUUUGCAACACCAGGGCUCCUUCCGCGUUGGAAAGGGUUGACCAUCAAAAGGAAAUCUAUGCCAUUUACCCAGUGGAGAAAUAAAUCUUCCUUUACUCACUUUUGCCCUGGCUCCUAUGUAAGAAGUCCAAAUGAACCCUGUUUCAUCUUAUUUCAUCUUUGGAAUUCCAGGAUUCUGUUUGGAAUUAUGACUCUGACUGCCUCUGGAACGUGUUGCAUCAGGAAAACUCACCAAGACUCAAACCAAGACAGAGAAGAAAAUGAAUAUGGAAAGAUGAGGAUGUGGCCUAAAUGAGUAAGUGCAACAAAACUAUUUAUCAUUUCAGUUAUAUUUUCUGACAGUCCCUUA
ensembl:lncRNA